GAACGAUUUUCAAUAAUCGUAAAUGAUCUACAUGCUCUCAAGAAGACAUUCACGGAUAGAGAACUUGUUCGAAAAAUUCUUAGAAGUCUCACUCCCGCAUGGCGAUCAAAGGCCGACGCAAUCCAAGAAUCCAUUGGCGUCUCAAAUGUCACCAUCGACCCAUGAAGAGGUAACCUUAAGACUUAUGAGUCUACUAUACUUAACCCUCUUGUUGAUGAUCAAAGGAG
rnacentral:lncRNA from 1 species